GGGUCGGUACUCAAGCGGUCAACGAGGUCAGACUGUAAAUCUGAUGGCUUUCGCCUUCGGAGGUUCGAAUCCUCCCCGGCCCACCA
rnacentral:tRNA from 1 species